GCCGAGGUGGCUCAGUUGGCAGAGCAGGGCAUUCGUAAUGCUCAGGUCGAGAGUUCGAUUCUCUCCCUCGGCU
rnacentral:tRNA from 1 species